CAUCUACGAGUACAUUGUUUAGUUUCUUUCCGCCGGCCCGAAGCUGAGCCGGGAAGACAAUUUCGGGCCGGACCAGGCCAUAACCAGGCGCAUGGUGGGUUGGUCUUUUUAUAGUUCUAGGUCCGUGGGCUAGCAUGAGCCCGUCGUAAAAAGCAAACAAACGGGGAGGACGCUAAGGACGGAGUUGGAGAGCCAUCUCCCGCGCUAGUUCGCCAAUUUGGCAUUGGCGCGGCCGAUGAUGUGCCACAGGUGGACGGCCUUGAUUCGCCCUAGAGAUAGGAGAAGACCAAGGUAGCGCUAAGGGAACGCCUCGUCAUUGCCGAUGAAAG
rnacentral:lncRNA from 1 species